UUCGCGACCGCCAUUGUGCUCAAGUCGUCAGAACCAAGGCCUUCUGUCAGAGAACCGAGCAAGCGUCCCAGUCCUCGAAGGUGUGGACUGACUUGGGAAUGAUCAUGGGGCUCGAGGAGGACGUGAAGGAGCAUGUCCUGCACAAAAUCAGACAUACCGCGAAGAAGUACUCGUAUGCCCAGACGACGAUAAACGUGGAGUCGGCCGACAAAGACGACGACGAGCUGCUAGCUCUACUUGCCUAUGGUUGUGGAACAACCAUUGGCACCUUGGCGGAUCCGAGAAACGGGGUUCGUCAGGCAGGUGAGGAACUAUCGGUGGACGGUGUGGUGGUCUGCCAACUGCCGGCCACCAGGUUGGAGACCGUGGCCCUAAUGACGGCCGCCCACGCUGUCUUCUACACAAAGUUCACGGGGCCCUGCAGGGCCCUGUUCGAGAUUCUUUACCGGAGUGUGGGAUUCGAUGUAAAAAAGUAAACCUAUCUGAC
rnacentral:lncRNA from 1 species